AUUGAACGCUGGCGGCGUGCUUAACACAUGCAAGUCGAACGCGAAAGGGAGCUUCGGCUCCCGAGUAGAGUGGCGUACGGGUGAGUAACGCGUGGAUAAUCUGCCCCUCUGACCGGGAUAACUGCUGGAAACGGCAGCUAAUACCGGGUACGCUCCCCAUUUUGAUUUGGGGAGGAAAGAUGGCCUCUGCUUGCAAGCUAUCGCAGAGGGAUGAGUCCGCGUCCCAUUAGCUUGUUGGUGAGGUAACGGCUCACCAAGGCAACGAUGGGUAGCCGAUCUAAGAGGAUGAUCGGCCACACUGGAACUGAAACACGGUCCAGACUCCUACGGGAGGCAGCAGUGGGGAAUAUUGCGCAAUGGACGAAAGUCUGACGCAGCGACGCCGCGUGAGGGAUGGAGGCCUUCGGGUCGUAAACCUCUGUCAGAAGGGAAGAAAGCGCAUAGGGCUAAUCACCUGUGCGUUGACGGUACCUUCAAAGGAAGCGCCGGCUAACUCCGUGCCAGCAGCCGCGGUAAUACGGAGGGCGCAAGCGUUAAU
rnacentral:rRNA from 1 species